UCCGAGUUGACCCCGGCAGUCUCCUAUGAGUCCCCACCAUAACGUGCUGGCAACAUAGGACGAGGGUUGCGCUCGUUGCGGGACUUAACCCAACAUCUCACGACACGAGCUGACGACAGCCAUGCACCACCUGUGAUCCUGCCCGUGAGGGAAGCCGUGUUUCCACGGCGGUCAGGAACAUGUCAAACCCAGGUAAGGUUCUUCGCGUAUCAUCGAAUUAAACCGCAUGCUCCGCCGCUUGUGCGGGCCCCCGUCAAUUCCUUUGGGUUUUAGCCUUGCGGCCGUACUCCCCAGGCGGGGCGCUUAAUGCGUUAGCUGCGGCACAGAGAACCGGAGAGGCCCCCCACACCUAGCGCCCAACGUUUACAGCGUGGACUAC
rnacentral:misc_RNA from 1 species